rfam:Myotis davidii contig172439, whole genome shotgun sequence.
GUGCUCACUUCGGCAGCACAAAUGCUAAAAUUGGAAUGAUGCAGAGAUGAGCGUGGCCCGAUGCAAGGAGGACACACAAAUUUCUGAAGUGUUCCACAUUUUU